CAAAACUUUAAAAAUAAAAAAUCUUUGUCUUAUCCUUGGUAUGGAUAUCAAUGAAAUUAGAUUGAAAUAAAAAUAAGCACAAAUGUUCAAAAAUGUAUGUUAAUGAAAAGAGCGAAUUAUAUUUUAAUUUAAUUUUAAUUUUUGAAAAUGUUUUCAAAAUAUAAUUUUACCUUUGGUGCUAGAUGUUUGAAUUUAAUUUUUGAAUAUGUAAUAAUUCCAUAUUUGGCAUAUGAAUAAACAGGUCUGCACUACCUCUCACCUUUCAGGAACAUAAAGCCCAUUUUGCAAGCAGAGACAACACAAUUAAAAGUGUAGCCUGUCCCUUACGUAGCUGCUUGGCAUACUAACCAGGUUUCCAUAAUGCCCCAUCUCCAUGACAGCCAGUGACUCUGAGAUUGUCUCAUUAGUGUUUGACCAGCACACGGUCCUUUUAAUAGAUCUUCCUGUUUUCCCACUCAAUUACUGAAAUUAAAUGAGGUGAAAUACAUCGUUAUUCACCCAUAGUAUGAAUUUACAUUCAGUGCUUUCUCUGUCAGAAUUUUAGUAAAAUUCAACUACAUGGCUUUUAAAAAUAAUGGGAGAAAAUACACUUAGCUGUAUGUGUUUUAAGGGAGACGUACUGAAUAGCAAAUAUUCUUUUUGUAGAAUUUCAUUCUUAGGAGGAUGAAAAAUAAUAAAUGAUUAAUAGAAAUGACAACAAAAAGCUUUAUUUUAUUUUGGAAAGAUAUCAGUUCUGAAGGAGUUUGUACAAGGCACGCAGACUUAGGGUUCCCAAGGGGGAAAGGGGAGGGAAUGUGAUGGAUGGGCGUUUUGGGGUUUUUGGGAGUCAAACUGUUAUAUUUGGAAUGUAUGGGCAAUGGGACCCUAACUGUACAACACAGGGAAAUUUGGGGAGUUCCCAUCAUGGCUCAGCUGUAACAAACCUGUCUAGUAUCCAUGAGAAUGAGAGUUUGAUCUCUGACCUCGCUCAGUGGGUUAAGGAUCCAGCGUUGCCCUGAGCUGUGGUAUAGUUCUAAGACAUGGCUUUGGCUGUGGUAUAGGAUGGCACCUGCAGCUCUGAUUUGACCGCUAGACUGGGAGCUUCCAAAUGGUGGCCCUAAAAUAAAGACCAAUAAAUAAAUAAAUAAAGUAAUUGGGAAAAAAAAUCUAUCAUUUAUACUUAAGACAUACAUGUUUGCAAAUAUUAUUAACCCCUACAUGUUGAAAUUGAUAAAGAGAAGGGAUUUUGGAGCAGCUGGGAACUAAGAAGGUGAAUGUAGAAUCUGGAUGCCAUGGGGUUAGAUGGAUCGAAUGAGGAAUGGAUAUUUACAGGUAAUGGAGCAAAUUGGGGAACAUAAAACCAAACAGACAAAAAUACCUAAGAUGCCUAAAAUCUAAAUAAGAGCGAGUCCUCUUUGUCCAAACCUUCAAUAUCUAUGCAAACCUUAUUACUUGUCCAGCUGGUGUUUAUUCCCAGUAAAUGUUAGCCACGUUUUUCUUUUCCCUAAAGAUAAUGAUUGUUUUUAUUAAAAUAUUUUCAACAUUGACAUUUUCUAACCAAUUUUUAGCUCAAAAAAUAAAAUGUAUGUGGAAAACUUUUAACUAUAUCAUCCUUAUACAAAUAUUAAACUAUACAAACUGAAGACAGUUUAAAACUCUUACUAACAAAAGGUUCAGACUCCCAAAAGCUUUAUUGUUUCAAAAUAACACUAUACACACAACUAAAUCAUUUCCUUCUAUUGUUUAUAGUAAAAUUGGUUUUGUUUGUAUCUAAGAUUUUAAGUUUCUUAAUAGAAUUUACCUAUCAAGACAUUUUAGGAAUGACAUGGGUAACUAAUUCCUGUAGCACGAGCAAUUACUAAAUGUUUACCACUAGAUGGCAGUCACACAUUGGUAAGGAAAGGCACCCUUUUCCUUUACUGGGUAGACUGAUGAACUGGCUGUUGAAAGUUAUCCAUCGGUGGCUAAAAAUGAUGAAGGGGUGGAACAUUGCAGAUUUCUAUUGGUUCUGCCUUUGUGCUGUUGAAAGAGUGAAAUGUACAGUGCCAAAAAUCAGGAAUCUUAAGCAUAAUCCAGUGCAAAGUAGUCAUCCUGCUCUGACACAUAAAAUCAAAGUUUCAGAUUGCCCAUUUUAGCUUCAACUUUGCAAGUCCUGUUAGUUUUCUCAUCUGCAAAAUGGGUACAACAGUAAUACCUACUUUUCAGUUUAAUGGUAAAGGCUAAAUACCAUCAUCUAUGAAAAACACAAAUUCUGUUGCCUGGCACACAUAUGCUCAAUAAAUGUUGUCUGUUAUUAUUUUUCAUUCAUUGACAGAGAAUGUAGACAUAGCUCAAUUUUUUUUUUAAAUAAAACUGAUAGCUUUAAACACAGUGGAUUAAGAAGGACAUUAAUUGUGAUGUCUGGGUUACACUAAGCUGGAAUUAGAAGAAUGCCAUUAAACCAUGAAAUAUCAGAAGAUUAUGUCUGAAUUUCAUACCAAGUUAAACAUAGACAUGUAAAAAUUGAAAAUCAAAUAUAAUUAAUGCAAAAAGAUGUCUACUUAAAAUAUCUCUUUAAAAAUUAUACCAAUAAGUUCAUCUUAUUUUGUUUUUAUAGAAGGAAGAAUUCUACAUUUCCUUUUUUUAGGAUUUGGUUGGCUAAAAAAUGGCCAGAAAC
rnacentral:lncRNA from 1 species